rnacentral:rRNA from 1 species
GACGAACGCUGGCGGCGUGCUUAACACAUGCAAGUCGAACGGUGAAGCGCCUUCCUUUUUGGUGGGUGUGGAUGAGUGGCGAACGGGUGAGUAACACGUGAGUAACCUGCCCCCUUCUUCUGGAUAACCGCAUGAAAGUGUGGCUAAUACGGGAUAUUCUGGGUCUGUCGCAUGAUGGGUCUGGGAAAGAUAUUGUUUCGGUGGGGGAUGGGCUCGCGGCCUAUCAGCUUGUUGGUGGGGUGAUGGCCUACCAAGGCGGUGACGGGUAGCCGGCCUGAGAGGGUGGACGGUCACACGGGGAAUGAGACCCGGCCAAGACUCCUACGGGAGGCAGCAGUGGGGAAUAUUGCACAAUGGGCGCAAGCCUGAUGCAGCGACGCCGCGUGAGGGAUGGAGGCCUUCGGGUUGUGAACCUCUUUCGCCAGUGAAGCAGGCCUGCCUCGUUUGUGGGUGGGUUGACGGUAGCUGGAUAAGAAGCGCCGGCUAACUACGUG